CAGUAGCCGCGGUAAUACGUAGGGUGCGAGCGUUAAUCGGAAUUACUGGGCGUAAAGCGUGCGCAGGCGGUUAUAUAAGACAGAUGUGAAAUCCCCGGGCUCAACCUGGGACCUGCAUUUGUGACUGUAUAGCUAGAGUACGGUAGAGGGGGAUGGAAUUCCGCGUGUAGCAGUGAAAUGCGUAGAUAUGCGGAGGAACACCGAUGGCGAAGGCAAUCCCCUGGACCAUAACUGACGCUGAGGCGCGAAAGCUAGGGGAGCAAACAGGAUUAGAUACCCCAGUAGUCCCUGUCUCUUAUAA
rnacentral:rRNA from 1 species